rnacentral:misc_RNA from 1 species
AACCUUAUGGACCUGCGGGCGUAUACCUGCGGAGGGAUCAUUACCGAGUUUACAACUCCCAAACCCCUGUGAACAUACCUAUACGUUGCCUCGGCGGAUCAGCCCGCGCCCUGUAAAAAGGGACGGCCCGCCCGAGGACCCUAAACUCUGUUUUUAGUGGAACUUCUGAGUAAAACAAACAAAUAAAUCAAAACUUUCAACAAUGGAUCU